AACACAGAAAGAGGGCUACCCAAUAUGAAGUUUUUCAGUGCUUUACUGACCUGAUGUGGAGGGUGAGAAGAAGUUCAAAGACCCAAGAACAAAACCAAACGUCACAUUAUAAUGGGCUGCACAACUAGUGCAAUUCAAGGUCCUGGUUAGAAAUACCUGAGCUUGAGCUCACUUGGAUGGUGUUGUAAGACCAUUGACCACCAUCACAAGACUAUUUACAGAUGAAAACUAAAAAGUAGAAUGUGGACUUCAUCCCACAAUCUUACACUGAAGAAAAAAGAGCUACAAAGAAUAAUGAUCCAUGAAUUCCAGAGAGGGACACAGUAUCUUCAUACUGAAAAGUGUGAAGAAAGUACAGUGAUGAAUAGCCAAAUGACAACAGUUUAAAGGCUCAAGGAUUUAGGAGCUCUCCAUGAAUCCAGUCAAUUUCUGCUCAGUUUUCCAC